rnacentral:rRNA from 1 species
UACAGAGGUCUCAAGCGUUGUUCGGAUUCAUUGGGCGUAAAGGGUGCGUAGGCGGCGCCGUUAGUCAGGUGUGAAAUUUCGGAGCUUAACUCCGAAACUGCAUUUGAUACUGCGGUGCUUGAGGACUGGAGAGGAGACUGGAAUUCAUGGUGUAGCAGUGAAAUGCGUAGAGAUCAUGAGGAAGACCAGUGGCGAAGGCGGGUCUCUGGACAGUUCCUGACGCUGAUGCACGAAGGCCAGGGGAGCAAACGGG